GUGCAGGUGUUUCUUCACUGUUAUCUAUUGAUGCCACAAUUGUGACCAUUUUAGUUGUUGUUGUGGAUUUAGUUAACGAUUAUUAAUGUCAUCACCGGAGACACCGAGAAAUGGGUAACAUGAGACUCAACACGAUCGAAGAGAAUAGCGAUAUACGACUCUGAUGGUCUCACCAAACAGGUGCAGAUCCCAGAUCUCACAUCCCCACAUUAGCAGAGCUUGGAAAUAUGAGGUGGCUCAGGCAUCUGAUUUGGACGACUCCUGGACGCCAUCCUGGCGAGGUGUUCCGGGCACAUCCGACUGGAAGGAGGCCGAGGGGUCGACACCGGACACGCUGGGAAGACUGGGACUCCCGGCUGGCGUGGGAACGCCUUGGGAUCCUUUAGGAUAGCUGAAUAAAGUGGCUGGGGAGAGGAAAGUCUGGGGUUCCCUGCUGAAACUGCUGCCCCCGCGUCCCAACUUCGGAAAAUUCAGGAUGGUAGGGAGCUGGAACCACUCCAAACUGGCUACAGGCAAAAUAUGGACGGCACCCUGGACUGCCACAGACAAACAUUCACACUCACAUCUAUACUGAACUGUGUAUAGCAAGCAAAGCGUGCACCAAUAUAGUA